rnacentral:lncRNA from 1 species
AGGCCCUGCUGGUUGAGCUGGGAGACUCAGUCCCAAGGCUUUGAACAGACACGUAAUUUCAAUGAUGUUGGGGUUGGGGGGACCAUAAGCUCGCACAAUCCUAAAUCCCAGCCCCAAGGAGGCCUAGGGAGAGCCUGAGGCUCGAAUGAGUAAGAAUGGGAGUGGGAACGAGGAUGAAGGUGGGUCCCCCUUGCCCCCUGGCCUCACCUGGUUAUCCUCCGGGCCUCCAGGUGGCUCGGGGAGUCUCUCCGGCGCUUUCUCAUAGGCGAGUAGGACCGACGUCUCCGACGCGCUCGCUCGCGCUCCCGCUGCUGCGAGUCCUUCUCACUGUAUUUGGGAUCCCGCUCCCUGAAGGGGCGCGGGGGGUUACUGGGGAGCUGGGGCUGGGCUGGAUUUUCUGCGUGAGCGCGUGGGAGAGGGACACUCCCUUUCUUUCCCACCCCACUGGGUCACGGGAUGGGGUCUGCACGUUGCCGCAAGGGAGACCGGAGGGAGGAUGACGGGGCUGCGGUAAGAGUCUGCGAGGGUUGUUAGUACCGUAGGGGUGGGGGCUGGGCUUGUGCAGGGGUGUCAGCAUUUGCAGGUGGGCAUCAUAGCAGGGCAGGUGCUGCAGGGGUGAGGACGUGAAUGUUACGCAGGCCCUGGUGCGUGGGUAAGAACUGGGGGCUCUGAAUAUGGGGACGGUCUGUAGAGGCUGAGGGCUGGGGAUGUGAAUUCUGGGGUAUGUCUGCGGGACUGUUUGGGCUGGAGACAUUAGGAAACAAGGGUAUUUGAUGCCUCGCUGCCACUCCUGAUUGGACAAAGGGAACUGUAAGAAUGCUGAGUCAGGGUCAGACCUAAGAGGAAGAAGGCCCGAGAACGGGGAGGCGGGGCCAGAGAGGAGGAUCAGAGCAAAGGGGUGGGGCCUAGGACGGGCCUAGUUUGAGGGGCGGGGCCGGUACCUGCUGGGGCUGUAGCGGGAGUAGCUAGGGCUGCGGCGGGACCUAGAGCUUCUGCUGGGCGGGCUCCUCUUGCCAGACUUGGAGGAAUAGCUGGGAGAGCGGGAGUAGGACCUGGGGGAGAGGUAACAGCCUCUGAGGAGCCUGCUGAGUGUCCGCCUGGGUUAUCCAAGACGGCUUGAGCUUUAUUCAGCGGGUCCCUGGGCAGUGACCUUUUUCUUUCUGGAAGCCAGGCAGAGGAACUGGGCCCCGAUCAAAGAAUGAAAGCCCCUCCCCACCGGUGGUUAAUAAUAAUACCAACAACUUCUAUUUUGUGCCUACUAUCCUGGCCACUUACUAGCUGUGUGACCUUGGCAGAUGAUUUCGUUUCCCUGGGCCGUUUUCUUGUCUAUAAAAUGCAGGUAAUAAUAGUCCUUACCCUAGACAAUUGUAAAUUGAAUGAGUGAAUUCGGGUAAAUCACAUAGCAUAUUGGCACCUAUGCUAAGUAUCAAUUAGACAGGACAUAGGAAAUGUUAGCUAUGACUAUGACAUAUUUUAUUAUGUGCCAGACAUUGAACCAGUGCUUUGUGUGUAUUAUUUAAUCCUCAACACAUCUUAGGGUUAGGUACUAUUAUCAAUUUCAUUUUAUAGAUGGGGAAACAGAGGCACAGAGAGAUGAUGCACUUCGCUAAACACAGCUGGUAAGAGAUGUGAACCCAGGACUGUUUGCCUCUAAGCCAAAUUUAAUUCACGUCUGUUUGGUUUCAAAGUGCUCUUGAUUUUUGUAGACUAUAUUGUUGUGCAUCUACAUGACUAAUCCUUAUGCUCCUCCUAGUCUUCUUUGCUUUCUGUUAAUGCCUCCCACUUUUAGAAAACAGGGGCAGGAAUAGCUCUUCCCUUCUCAGUGCCCUCAGCAGUGUCCAGCUAUGGUCACUGGAAAAAUGUGCUUUUGCCAACUUAUGCUUUGGCUAUGCAUUGAGAGAUAUAAGAAAGAGUCAAGAUGAAACCUGUUUUUGGAUACUUUGAAAGGAUAUUAUCAGAAUUUCCAUUCACUGCACCAUAUAGAGUCCCUUUUCUGUGGAGCCAUCUGAGUCAUUUUUCAUAGAAUUAAAAACCUGAAAUAGCUGCUCUUCUGAGCAACUGGUUCAAUUCUUAUCUUUUUUUUGUUAAUAAUGUAGUAAAUGAGGGAGUAAUUUUCCUCUUUGCUUUGUCUGUCAGGGAGCUCAGACGUCAUAUUUGCAGCUUACCUCCAUAGCAACUUUACAGAAUGGUAGGACGUACUUUUGGGACUGUCUCCUGACUUAAUUUUAUAUUUCUUUCCUUAAUUUUUCUUUUAGCCUGAUUUGCUCUUCUAUUUAUGUCACUCUAUCAUGUUGAAUAUUUUCAUCAGUUGCCUUGUCUCAUUUUUUGGAAUGGACCAGUCUUGAGAUGACCAGCUAAAUAAGCAACUGUUUUUUGAUUGUAUAGUUGCAAAAGAGGAACAAUCAAGCUCCUAUUGGGAAUUUCUUUUUGCAGAGGAAAGCUGGACUCCCUGAAUUUAUGGGUUGAUUCGUUUGGAUAGAAUCUUCCGAUUUCUGAGAUUUCAUGUCUCAUUCUGCUACAUUAUUAUUCUACAUGAGGCAAUCAAGCGAUUACCAAUAGCUAUUGAAACUGGGUAGCAGAAUGCAAAAAUGGCCAUAAUUUUUCUUCUCCCAGUGUCCACAUCCCCUGCAAUGUGACUUUGCAGCUCCUUUCACUGAGAGGAAUACCCUUGAAUCUGUACUGGUCUUGUGACUUGCUAUGGCUAAUAGAAUAGCAGAAGGGAUGCUAAUUACUUCCAAGCCUAGAAGCCUUGCACAAUACUGUGCUCUCUCUUGGAAUUCUGCCAUCACCAUGUGAACAAACCAAGACAGGCCUGCUGGAGGAGGAGAGACCUCAUGGAGUAGAGUGAUGAGUCAGCUGGGGUCUUUCAAACUCUCCAGCCCCCAGCCAACCCACCAGUCAAUCAAAGGCGUAUGAGUGAGCCCAAUGAGAUCAGAAGAACCACCCAGCUGAGCCCAGCCCAAUUGCUGAUCCACAGGAUCAGGAACUAAGUAGCACUUGUUUUAAAGAUGCUAAGUUUGGGGAUAAUUUUCUAUGCAGAAGUUAAUUGAUACACAUUAGCUCAUUCUCAUGCCAAUAGCAGCAAUAAUAACUGAUAUUCAUUAUGUUCUGUGUACUGUUCUAAGUGCCUUAUAGCCCUCAGAACAAUCUUUUCUGGUAAGAAUUGCUAUUUCUUCAUAUUGCAGAUGGGAAAACUCAGGUUCAGAGAAAUUAACUGACUUUCCCAAGGCCACCAGCUCGAAAUGGGCAAAACGAGUAUUCAAACCUAAGUCCGUCUGACUUCUCUCCCCCAUGGGUCAAAGGACAUCUGCAAUUAACUAAUUUCCUAAGGAGAAAGGUGCUGCAGAGCAAAGGUCAAAACCACACUCACCUUUUUUCAGAAGAGGUGGAUCGGCUUUGGGUGUACCUGGGGGAAGCCCUGGGAUUUGGGGAUCGGGACGAGUGACUGGAGGAUCGGGUGCUGGCAUAGGAGGAGCUGCGGGAACACCCUUUCAUGGGUGAGCUCCGGGCUGUGGAUGGGACCAAACUGGACUUCUUCACUUCGGCACAUUCCAGACACGGUGACUGAAAUCCCCUGCAGGUGGGAAAAUGUCCAUGAGCACCGACUGCCCACUACUCUGGGAGCAUCUUGUUUGAAUACCUCCCUACCUUGGCCUAGGCUGUGGUGCUCUCAUAGAACCCUCUUUGCCCCUUUUCCCAUCCUAUUCUCUCUGGAAAGACUUCCCAGGCCACAUAUGUUAGAGGAGUAGAGACAGAAGAUACCUUAAAAGUAGACAAUUCAGGUUAGCAUUUCCUCAAGUGUGAAACACAUACCGCUGGGGCCACAGUGGAGUAUUUUAGAAUGUCAUCAGGCAUGGGCAUGAUGGUAAGUAACAUCAGAUUACAUGGUGAGAAAUUUAUUCCCUGUCUAGUCUUUUUCUGUCCUUCUGAUUACAUUAAUGAGGAAGCCCCCAUUGGGUGCUAGUUGGUUUGUAACACCUCUCUAACACUUUGUAAUCUCUCUAAGAGAGAGGAGCACACCUCAGACUCAGCCUUGGUUAGGCAACUGCAACUAGUAGGAUUAAAUCCAUUGUUUUAAUCAUAUGUGUUUUUAUAGGUACCUUUUAUUUAGGACAUGUGAUUCUUUUUUUGAGACAGAGUCUCACUCUGUUACCCAGGCUGUAGUGCAGUGGCUGACUGCAACCUCUGCCUUCAGGGGUCAAGCAAUUCUCCUGCCUCAGCCUCCCGAGUAGCUGAGAUUACAGGUGCAUGCCACCACACCCAGCCAAUUUUUGUAUUUUUAGUAGAGAUGGGGUUUCACUAUGUUGGCCAGACUGGUCUCAAACUCCUGACCUCAAAUGAUCCACCCGCCUUGGCCUCCCAAAGUGCUGGGAUUACAGAUGUGAGCCCCUGUGCCCGGCCAAGGACAUUUGAUUCUAAUUUUCUAUUUCAGAUAGUACUGUAAUUUUCCUUUUACUUAUAUAUUAAAAAUGAGUUUAUUAAAGUAAACAGGAAUAUCAGUAGUACAUGGAUAUGGUAAAAAUCAAGAUGACCUGUUGUUGGUUUAGUUUUGGGAAAUUUUGAUGUAACCCAUUUUGCAGUUGGAGGAAUUGAGACCUCCCAAAAGACAGAGGCUUCAGGAUUAUCAGAAGGCUAGAGUGCUGUCUUCUGUACUCCCACCCUGCCUAGGGCCAGGCUGACCUCUGUUAGGUGCUCAGUGAAGGCAUAUUUAUUUGGAUUGGGCCAAGAAUCAAGUUCAAAUCACAUUAAUAUGGUUUUCAAGGCUCACGAUGGCCUGGCACCUGCUCACCCCUCCAAUCUCAGGUCUUGACUCUUUCCUCUCCUGACUCCAGCUGUCAUAGACUACUUAUUCCUCCUGAAAUAUCCCUAUUCUCUUCCUUGUCUCCAGGCCUCAGAACAUUCUGGCUGUCUGCAAACCCUCUCCAUUCCCUCUUCAUCUGGCAACUCCUACUUAUGAUUCUGGCUUUAGCUUGACCUCACCCUUUCUGGAAAACCUUCCUUGACACCCCCGUCCCCUGUCUGGGUUGGGCGACCUCCAGUGUGUUACCACAGACCUUAGUUCUAUGUUUUGCCUAUCCCUAUAUGGCUUACUUAGUCUUAUACUUGUAGGCUGUCUCUUCUGUCCCAGAUAUUGAGCUCCCUGGAGACAGCUCCCUGGGGACCUUUUCAAUGUUCUGAGAAUUUCACAAGCAUCAUUUCAUUCCCAACAACCUUCUGAAGCCGACAUCAUUAUUUAUUUAUUUUUUGAGACAGUCUCGCUCUGUCGCCAGGCUGGAGUGCAGUGACGUGAUCUUGGCUGACUGCAACCUCCGCCUCCCAGGUUCAAGCGAUUCUCCUGCCUCAGCCUCCCGAGUGGCUGGGACUGCAGGUGCGCACCACCACACUCAGCUAGUUUUUGCAUUUUUAGUAGAAAUGGGGUUUCACCAUGUUGGCCAGGAUGGCUUUGAUCUCUUGACCUCGUGAUCCACCUGCCUUGGCCUCCCAAAGUGCUGGGAUUACAGGCAUGAGCCACUGCGCCCAGCUGCCAAUGCUAUUAUUACCCCCAGAUUUACAGAGAAGUCUCAGAAGGGUUUGUUAUUUCCUCAAAACCACCCAGAGCCCCAAACCUUGAUCUGUGCAGCUCCAGAGUCCCCACCCCUCCCACCUCACCAGCUCCCUACCUUCAGUGUCUAUGGUUCCUUUGAUUUAGAGCUGAUGUCUCUUCCACUCAGCCCAUAUUUAUUGAGCCCUCUCUGCUCAUAAGUGGCAUGACAUAAACAGUCAUGGACUCAACCAUCAUUUAUAUUUCAAAGUGAAAGGCUGGGUCUAAAUUACUUAAUUUGGCUGUCCAUGGAGAUCAAAUUAAACAGGUAACUGCUAGAUGUCUCUCAGGCUUUAGUUCCUGUUUGGGGGACAUAUUUGUAUUUGAAUUCUGGUGCUGCCACUUAUUAACUGAGUUUCUCAACCACUCUGAGCCUCAGUUUCCCCAUCAGGUAAAAAAGGGUUACAAAUAGUACUGUCCUAUAAAGGUUUUGAGGAGCUCGGGAAGAUUAUUUCUGGAAAGCAUUUGGCAGUGUACCUAGCAUGUGAUUUGGGCUCAACGAAUAUGAACUGCCGUUAUUAUUGUUGUUGUUAUUGCUAUUUCAAUUUUUCCUGCAUAAUAGCACUGCUGUAUAUCAGUAAACAUGUGUCCUCCUCCUCCCUUCUGGGAACUUCACUGCCUGUUCUUGGAGACACUGACAUUGGCUCUGGCCCAGCUCAGGUUCUCAGUCAAGCUUGGGUGUGAGCUGAGGCCAGGGAUGACCUGGGGCAGGCAAAUGGGAAGGCAGUUCUGCAUGUGGAUGUCAAGCUGUUUGUCCAGGACUGAAAUGGGGUAUGUGUUAGGGACAAAGAGUGCUCUGUCUUUGAAGAAGCUGUUAGCUGCUUCAGUGCUAAGGCGUUAGUCAUCUUUUGAAAAUUUUGGCUAUAUGGAACAAAGGCAAACUCCCACCCUCAGAAGUAGAAAAACCUCACUGUUAGCAUGACAGAGGGCACCAGCAAAGCUUUUCCACCCAUCCCGCAACUGUGCAUCUGCCUCAUUAAUUAUAAGCUCCUGAGAAAAAGGACUGUUCCAUUUUUAAAUCCCCAGCACCAGGCUGAGUGUCUGGCAGAGAGGACUUGCCUGAUAAACAAGUUGAGGAAUAAACAACAGAAUGAAUGGUACAGACUAAGUGAUCAGUAAAUUUUAGUAGCUAUUAUGAUGACAGUAACCUCAGUGAUUAGCAUUUUGUUGUGAUUUCUUGAGUGAGAGAGUUAAGCGGAUGACGAAGUAGAAUUACAACUGGCUCAUAUGCAUCUGUGUGGAAGAGUUUUCUGCAGGAAAACUGCAUCUAGUGAGUGUGUUAAGAUGGGUAAAAAAAUGGAGAAAUCUCAAUGUUCUCUGAUAUGUUGAUAAAUUAUACUAUGGUAUAUCUGUAUCUAUAAUUAAUAAACUUUAUUUUUUAGAGCAGUUUUAGUUUCAUAGCAUGAUUGAAUGGAAAGCACAGGGAGCUCCCAUAUACUUCUUGCUGCUACACACGCACAGCCUUAUUCCCCACUAUCAGCAUCCUCCACCAACGUGGUCCAUUUGCUACAAUCGAUGAACCUCCAUUGACACAUCAUUAUCACCCAGAGUCUAUAGUUUACAUCAGAGUACCCUCUUGGUGUUAUACAUUCUAUGGAUUUGGACAAAUGUAUAAUGACAGUUAUCCACCAUUGUAGUGUCACACAGAGUAGUUCCAUUGCCCUAAAAAUCCUCUGUGCUCUGCCUAUUCAUCCCUCUGUCCCCUCACCCUCUGGCAACCACUUAUCUUUGUACUUUCUCCAUAGUUUUGCCUUUUCCAGAAUGUCAUACAGUUGGAGCCAUGCAGUGUGUGACCUUUUCACAUUGGCUUCUUUCACUUAGUAAUAUGCAUUUACAUUUCCUCCAUGUCUUUUCAUAGCGUGGUACCUCAUACCUUCCGAGCACUGAAUAGCAUUCCAUUGUCUGGACGUAUCAUAAUUUAUGUAUUCAUUCACGUACUGAAGGAUAUUCUGGUUGCUUCCAAGUUUUAGCAAUUACAAAUAAAGCUGUUGUAACAUCCAAGUGCAGGUUUUUAUGUAGAGAUAAGUUUUCAAUUCAUUUGGGUAAAUACUGUGAUAUGUUCUUUUUUUUUUUUGAGAUGGAGUCUGGCUCUGUCACCCAGGCUGGAGUGCACUGGCGCAAUCUCGGCUCACUGCAAGCUCCACCUCCCAGGUUUAUGCCAUUCUCCUGCCUCAGCCUCCCAAGUAGCUGGGACUACAGGCGCCCGCCACUAUGCCUGGCUAAAUUUUUGUAUUUUUAGUAGAGACGGGGUUUCACUGUGUUAGCCAGGAUGGUCUCGAUCUCCUGACCUCGUGAUCCACCCGCCUCGGCCUCCCAAAGUGCUGGGAUUACAGGCGUGAGCCACCGCACCUGGCCUGUGAUAUGUUCUUAAAUGACUUACAAUUAAUUUAAUGUUAGACUUUCUUUCAUUUUUUUUUUCUUUUGAGAUGGAGUUUCACUCUUGUUGCCCAGGCUGGAGUGCAAUGGUACAAUCUCAGCUCACUGCCACCUCCGCCUCCAGGGUUCAAGCAAUUUUCCUGCCUCAGCCUCCCGAGUAGCUGGGAUUACAGGCAUGUACCACCACACCCGGCUAAUUUUGUAUUUCUAGUAGAGACAGGGUUUCUCCAUGUUGGUCACGCCGGUCUCGAACUCCUGACCUCAGGUGAUCCACCCGCCUCGGCCUCCCAAAGUGCUGGGAUUACAGGUGUGAGCCACCACGCCUGGUCAAUGUUCGACUUCCUUCUAAGAUUACUGGUAAAAUUGUCAUCUGUUUUUUUGCCUGCCUAGCCUCCAUCUCUCCUGAUACCAAUAACCUGGCUUUUCCUGUAGAGGAGUGUGGGAAGGUUCGACUCAUUAGCCCUAGUGAUGGCAUCUGACACAUUCUGGCCAACAGCAUAGCAUCCCCUGGGACAGUGAUGGGCAGAUGACCUAAGCUGGGCCAAACAGAACCAAUAAGCACCUGCCUUGGUGUUUGGCUGAAAUCUUUGAGAAAGAAGCAUUGUUUUCCUGUUGGCUGGCUAAACCAAUAGAAUGUUAGCUGCUUGGCAUAUUUGACAAUGCUUUGGGAGGAUCUGCUUGAGAAUAAGGCCAGUAGGAUGAGGAAGCAGAAUAAGAGAUGUAAUGAGAAAGACGGAUUUCCAGCAACAUAUUUUUGAACCCCUGAAUCCAGCUGUACCUGAAGCUAGUGCCACUAGUGUUUUAAAACAAGCCAGUCUGAGUUGAGUUUCAUCUCUCUUACAAAUAAAAUAAUCUUGGGGGUGGAGUGGGGGAGGCUGGGAUGAGAGCAUGAGAAGGUGGAGCUAAGGUGGGAGACCGUCUACCCCCGACCCUGUGUGGUGCACUGACCUUGACUCUCUGCCCCUGCUGGUGGGGGAGAGAUUCUCCAACAUGGCCCCCUUGUUCUGGGGUGAGGAGGUGGUGAAGGAGUUCCCUGAAUCAGAGGUGUUGCCACUGUUGAGCUCCCGGCUCUUGCUCAAGCCCCCACUGGGGCUCCCCUUCUCCUGGCCCCGAGACCUGGCUGAGCUGGUUUGCGUGGAGGGUGGCGAGGACGUGUCAUUUCCUGAGUCGUACUCCUGGGAACGUCCUCGCGAGGUGGUGAGCGGGCUGGCUGUUUUGGUAAAGAGGUCAGCAGCAGACCCCGACCCAGUGAUCUGAAAGCAAAAAGACCCGUUGGACACUGCUGAGCGCUGGGCCCAUGGGCUGUUUCUAAAUAACCAAGAAAUGUUUACCGUCAUGAUGCACUGUAACGAAAGGAAAGAGA